AAAGCAUUUUUCAUUAUGAAUAGAUUAGACAAUAGAGGAAGACAUAAAAAUAAGAAAUCAUACUUCCGUAUAGAAAGUAAAGAGAAUAUAAUUUCAAGCUUUAAUUUCAAUAAAUCUUUAAAAAAAAAAAAAUACUAAUUCUUCACUUGACAAUCUCUCCAUUGUUUCUUAACUCAGGGAAAAACACAAUAAUUGUUUAAUAAUGAUGGAGAUGAGCUGAAAAAUCUUUUUUGACUAUAAAUUUUCCUUUGUUUGAUAUCACAAAAAUAUCACCACAUUGUUGUUCUGCUUGAGUAAAUGAAGAGCAAAUGAGGCGGGCCGUGGGCGCAGAUAGGUCACACCUUGAACUCAAAUGACACUGUUUUGGUUAUUUUGGCUAUUUUGGCUAACCGUCUGCACGGGUGGCCUCCCGACACGUCCAUGUGAACUUUAGGGCCCUUUUCAUGGAGAGCAAAUGAGGCGCGCGGUGGGCGCAGAUAGUUCACACCUUGAACGCAAAUGACACUGUUUUGGCUAUUUUGGCUAACCGACUGCGCGGGUGGCCUCCCGACACGUCCAUGUGAACUUUAGGGCUCUUUUUCUUUCAUAUUUAGCCUUCUAUUAUGAAUGGCCUGCUCAUCUUCAUUUUCAACCUUUACCUGCACAAAUGAGCAUUAUACAUGAGAUUAAAACCAAAUCAAUGAAAAAACAUGAUAUUUUAAGCUUAAAAGGUGCUAACAAGUCAUCAAAUUGACGGCUUAUCAUUUUACAAUGAAAAAUGGUCAUCCUUUU
rnacentral:lncRNA from 1 species